rnacentral:rRNA from 1 species
UACAGAGGGUGCAAGCGUUAAUCGGAAUUACUGGGCGUAAAGCGUGCGUAGACGGUAGCGUAAGUCGGGUGUGAAAGCCCCGGGCUCAACCUGGGAAUUGCAUUCGAGACUGCUCUGCUAGGGUGCGGAAGAGGGAAGCGGAAUUUCCGGUGUAGCGGUGAAAUGCGUAGAUAUCGGAAGGAACACCAGUGGCGAAGGCGGUUCUCUGGGCAUGUCCUGACGCUGAGGAGCGAAAGCGUGGGGAGCGAACAGG